rnacentral:ncRNA from 1 species
CAGAGUAGGCAGUAAGGCGUUAAGUGCCGAGUGAACAGGAAGUUGUCAUUCGGACGAAAAGAGUGAUUCUUGCGAUUUUAUUGCCGCAUUCCGCUG